rnacentral:rRNA from 1 species
CCUACGGGUGGCUGCAGUGGGGAAUAUUGGGCAAUGGAGGAGACUCUGAACCAGCAACGCCGCGUGAAUGAUGAAGGUCUUCGGAUUGGAAAGUUCUUUUCGAAGGGAAGCAGAGAGUGACGGUACAUGAGGAAUAAGGCUCGGCUAACUAAGUGCCAGCAGCCGCGGUAAUACGUAGGAGGCGAGCGGUAUACGGAAUGACUGGGCGUAAAGGGUGCGUAGGUGGUUUGGCUAGUUAGUAGCGUAACUCCAAGGCUCAAACCUGGAACUAGUACUAAAACCGUUGGACUUGGGUGCAGGGAGGGCAACCGGGAUUGCGUGUGGAGCGGUGGAAUGCGUAGAUAUUAGGAGGAACCCCAGUGGCGAAGGCGAGUUGCUAGACUGUAACUGACACUGAGGCACGAAAGCGUGGGGAGCAAACAGGAUUAGGUACCCCAGUAGUU